rnacentral:rRNA from 1 species
UACGUAGGGUGCGAGCGUUAAUCGGAAUUACUGGGUGUAAAGCGUGCGCAGGCGGUUCGCCAAGUCAGGUGUGAAAUCCCCGGGCUUAACCUGGGAAUUGCGCUUGAAACUAGCGGGCUUGAGUGUGGCAGAGGGGGGUGGAAUUCCACGUGUAGCAGUGAAAUGCGUAGAGAUCGGGAGGAACACCCGUAGCGAAGGCGGCCGACUGGACCAUACCUGACGCUGAGGCGCGAAGGCCAGGGGAGCGAACGGG